AAACACACUAACAAAGUGUUAAACAAAUGAAAGCACAACGCCAACAAAGUUGUUUGAAUUUAGUCAUUGCUUUGUUUUGGAAGGAUUCUAAAUGAAAGGACACUUCCCAUAGCUUCUGUUUGAGAAAAUCCAGAGACUAAAUUACACUGCAAAGUGCGAACCCUUUCCAUAUCCAUCGCCUUUCUUUCUUUCUCAUCUGCUGCAGUUGAGAUUCAAUCAUGGCUGCAAAACUUGAUGGUGGAGCUUAUCUCACUUCCUUUGUUGAUGCCGUUUUAGACAAAUUGUCUUCAAUACUUGAAGAUGACUCUGUCCUUCAAGGAAACUACUCUGCCCAGGAGUUGCUUGGAAGGUUGGAGAAAAGUCUGUAUGAUGUUGGACCUGUUCUUGAUGAUGCCGAGCAGAAGCAGUUCACCGACAAGAGAGUCAAGAAGUGGCUUGUUGAUCUCCAAGAUGCUCUCUAUAUGGCCGAUGACUUGCUCGAUGAACUCUCCACUGAAGCCGCUAUCGCUGCCAUUCAAACGGAUCCAGGUAACUCUUCUUCCCGGUCUCGUGUGGUUGAUUCAUAUAUUGAAGACAGUGGUGAUAUGGAAAAAAUAGUUGGUACACUAGAGUCUGUUGUAGCAAAGAAAAAUUAUCAUCGUCUAAAAGAGUGCGCCAAGGUGGACAUGUCGUCAUGGAGAACUCCAUCCACAUCUCUCGUUGUAAGUUCUGACAUAUUUGGUCGGGACGAAGACAAGGAGAAGAUAAUCAAAUUGCUGUUAGAUGAUACUUGUCAUGCUAAAUCACCUGUGACUGUGAUCCCCAUUGUGGGUAUGGGCGGAAUAGGAAAAACUACUCUGGCUCAACUGGUUUACAGUGAUGUCCAAGUGGUUGAAAAUUUUGACACUAGAGUGUGGGUGUGUGUUGCUGAAAAUUCCGACCCUGUUCAUGUUACAAGGACAAUAAUAGCGGCACUAGAUUCCUGUCCUUGUAGCAUGGACAAUUUUGAUUUUCUUCAAUCUGAUUUGAAAAAAAAGUUGACAGGAAAGACAUUCUUAGUUGUUUUGGAUGAUGUCUGGCAUGAUCAACGAGACACAUGGGAAGAUUUUUUGAAACCUUUUUGGGAUGGAAAUCCUGUAAGUAAAAUUCUCUUAACAACCCGUAGUGAAAAGGUUGCUUCUGUGUUCGCAGCUCCUAAUCAACAUUAUGAACUAAGUUUAUUGUCAGACGAAUAUUGUUGGUCAGUGUUUUUGAAACAUUCAUGUAUUUCUACUAAUUCCGAACAAUAUCCAACUCUAGAACCAAUUGGUAGAAAAAUUGUUGCAAAGUGUAAGGGAUUACCUUUGGCUGUGAAGAUACUUGGAGGUUUAUUGCGCAAUAAGUAUAAUGUAAGGGAUUGGGAGAAUAUACUUGAAAGUGAAAUUUGGGAACUCCCGGAAGAUGAAAAUAAGAUUGUUCCUGCAUUAAGAGUUAGCUAUCACUACAUCCCUUCACAUUUAAAGCGAUGCUUUGUUUAUUGCUCAUUGUAUCCAAAAGAUUAUCAAUUUCACAAAGAUGAAUUAAUCUUGUUGUGGAUGGCUGAAGAUCUCUUACAGCCAAUUGGAAACAAUGCAUUAGAAGAUAUUGGUUGUGCUUAUUUUGAUGAAUUAGUUGCAAGAUCAUUUUUUCAACUUUCUAGUGCUUAUGCUGGAUUCUAUGUAAUGCAUGAUCUCAUGCAUGAUCUAGCAACGUUUUUUGCUGGAAAAUUCUUGUUCAGAGUCGACAAAUUUGGCAAUCCACACAUGGCUGAGAGCAAAACUCGUUAUUUGUCAUAUAAUCGGGAUCCAAUCUCAAAAUUUCUUGAGGCCUAUAAUGGAAUAUAUAUGAGAACAUUUCUACCUGUUUAUGUUCAAUCAAAUGAUAUUGGAUGUGAUUUUUGGCUAAAACAAUUGAAGUGUUUAAGAGUUUUGUCAUUUUGUGGCUUUAAAAUCCUGUCAUUGCCUGAUUCAAUAGGUGAGUUGAUCCAUUUGCGUUAUUUGGAUCUCUCCAAAAUACCUAUUGUCACGUUGCCUGAAUCAUUGUGUAGAUUAUACAAUCUCCAAACAUUGAAGUUGAGGGAUUGUGAGAAGCUAGAGAUGCUUCCCAGCCGCAUGCAAGAUCUUGUGAACCUACGCCAUCUUGAUAUCAGGGGAGCUGAUAGUUUAAAAGAGAUGCCGAAAGGAGUGAGCAAGUUAAAGCAUCUGAACUUCUUAAUUCGUUAUAUUGUCGGGGAGCAAGUGGAGAAUGGGAUAAGAGAAUUGGGAGCACUUGACAAUCUUCAUGGUUCACUUUGCAUUUCCAACUUAGAGAAUGUGAACAACAGCGGUGAAGCUUUGGAGGCAAAGAUGGGUAACAAGAAGCACAUCAACAUUUUAGAAUUGAAAUGGCUUCCAGAAGAUAAUGGUGGUGAUACUGUUGAUGUUGAAAAAGAGAGAGAGAUACUUGAGAAGUUACAACCUCACCGAAACUUGGAGGAGUUAUCAAUUUAUAGUUACAGGGGUGAAACAUUCCCCGAUUGGUUAGGCCUUCCUUGCUACUCCAAUAUGACUACAUUGAUUCUGGCUUUCUUUAAGAAUUGCCGUCAGGUUCCUUCACUGGGACAGUUACCCUCUCUGCAGCAUCUGUUGAUAUGGGGACUUGAUGGGUUGGAGAGAAUUGGUGGUGAGUUUUACAACAACGCUGAAUCAUUUCAUCAGGGGACACCCUUCAGAUCUCUUCAAACUCUGGCAUUUGGUGGAAUGCCUCGCUGGCGAGAGUGGCAUAUUCCUGAUGACUUUGAUGGAUUUCCUAUACUUAAAAGCCUUUCAAUAGAAGACUGUCCGGUGUUAAGUGGAGAUCUGCCCGCUCACCUUCCGGCUCUGGAGGAAUUGGAUAUACGGGAAUGCCCAGAAAUGGAUUGUUUUGGAGAGGAGUGCCUCCCGCCGAGCUUGACAACUCUUCUGAUCAGAAGAUGCCAGAAACUGGAGAGUUGGAUAACAUCAAAGGGUUUGCAGAGUGAAGGCCUUACCCAUCUUAGCCUUCGACAAUGGAAUGAAGUUAAGUCGUUCCCGAGAGAGGGUUGCCUUCCUGCUUCCCUCCGGUCUCUACAAUUGUCGAAAUUUUCAAAUCUGGAGACGCUAGACUACAAGGGCCUUCUCCAACUCACCUCCCUCCAACAAUUAACAAUUGGAUUCUGUCCAAAGCUGGAGAAUAUCACACAACAAAACCUGCCUGCCUCCAUAUUGAAACUCAUCAUCAAGGGAGAAUGUCCAUUGAGGAGUAAGCUGGAAGAGAUGAACGACCCCCGGAUUCAAUUCCAAACAGACUAGGAGGAUCAGUUUCGUUCAUUCUGAUUUUCCACCAUUUCUUCAGGGAUUCUGUCUAUUAAUAUGUUAUGGAGGAGGAGCCAAGAUCUUUUAUUCCAUCAGUGUUCUUCAAAAUACUUUACAUUUUGCCUCCUAGCAAUCAAAGUUCUUACAUAGCUGAACUUUCCAUCAUGCUACACGUUAGUGAUAGCAAAAUACCGAGUAAUGUCCUAAUUCAUAUCUUCGCAACCUUCUAUGAUUCAACUCCUAACUUUUAUGAUGACAACCAUAAAAAGUUCUGUAAUUUAUUUGUUUUCCGGACAGAGAAUGAAUCAAAUAUGAAUAUAAACUGGCCGAUGCUUUAGCUAAUCUCUUCAAUUUGGCUCAACCAAGCAAGAUUGUCACCAAGAUAUUUUCACUUAAAUAUUGCCAAAAUUUUCGUGUCAUGUCUCUUCUUUGGGUUGGCCUAUUGGAAAAGCCUAAAUACAGUUCACAAUAAAAUCAAUCAUAUGAUGGUAGUUAUGUGUAACUUGGAUUUCUAAGUCCAACCGCAGGCUGGAUCUAAAUCUGAACUCUCCAUUUGCGACAAAGUCUUUGUGACAAAGUCGAUUAAAGAAGAGGAGCAAAGGGACAACUUCUGCAUUCAAGUUGUUGCUUUUGCUACACAUGAGAAUGCACAGUAUUUGAAAUGCACAACAUGCAGCCUCUUUGGUAGUGAAAAAACAACGUUUCUCAACCCAAGGUGGAAAAAGAAGGCUGAUGCGUCAAGGUUGAUUAUAGCAGCAAUUGGUUAAAGGCUAAGAAUGUUGAGGAGGUUUGUGAUUCGUGAGAAUGCCAUUGGGAAGUGGUUAAUAGCACACAAUCCAUUCUUACACAAUAGAUCUGAACAUCUCAAAUCAUAUUCUUUCCUUUUUUCUUAGUGAGAGGGAUUAAAUCAUUAAGAAUAAAUUGUUUUUGUCUCACAUUCCCUCAACUGAUCAUCAUUGCUCACAGAAAGUGUGUCAAAUUGUCUUUGUAAAGUUUUAGUCCAAACAGUUUUCUCAAGGAAUACCCUGAGUAUUAAGGGGGAAAUUUAGGAACAAGAGUUUGUUUAUAACCCCCAUUCUCUAUUAUAUAUAGUAAGUCAGGGUGUUAGUCUCUGUUUUAAGCUUCCUGUUUGAGUCUGUUUUGGAUCUCUUUCUGUAUAGCUAGUUCCAUCACAUAUACAAGGUUCCCCUUGUAUCUAGUGUGUAAUCAAUGAAUGAGGUUACUCAAUUUCAUAUCAUCUUUCUCAUAAA